rnacentral:rRNA from 1 species
GAUGAACGCUGGCGGCGUGCCUAAUACAUGCCAGUCGAGCGAACAGAUAAGGAGCUUGCUCCUUUGACGUUAGCGGCGGACGGGUGAGUAACACGUGGGUAACCUACCUAUAAGACUGGGAUAACUUCGGGAAACCGGAGCUAAUACCGGAUAACAUUUGGAACCGCAUGGUUCUAAAGUGAAAGAUGGUUUUGCUAUCACUUAUAGAUGGACCCGCGCCGUAUUAGCUAGUUGGUAAGGUAACGGCUUACCAAGGCGACGAUACGUAGCCGACCUGAGAGGGUGAUCGGCCACACUGGAACUGAGACACGGUCCAGACUCCUACGGGAGGCAGCAGUAGGGAAUCUUCCGCAAUAGGCGAAAGCCUGACGGAGCAACGCCGCGUGAGUGAUGAAGGGUUUCGGCUCGUAAAACUCUGUUAUUAGGGAAGAACAAAUGUGUAAGUAACUGUGCACGUCUUGACGGUACCUAAUCAGAAAGCCACGGCUAACUACGUG